rnacentral:rRNA from 1 species
UACGGAGGAUCCGAGCGUUAUCCGGAAUCAUUGGGUUUAAAGGGUCCGUAGGCGGGCCGUUAAGUCAGGGGUGAAAGUCUGCGGCUCAACCGUAGGACUGCCCUUGAUACUGGCGGCCUUGAGUUAUGGUGAAGUGGCUAGAAUAUGUGGUGUAGCGGUGAAAUGCAUAGAUAUCACAUGGAAUACCGAUUGCGAAGGCA